rnacentral:rRNA from 1 species
GACGAACGCUGGCGGCAUGCCUAAUACAUGCAAGUCGAGCGAAUGAUGAAGAAGCUUGCUUCUUCUGAUUUAGCGGCGGACGGGUGAGUAACACGUGGGCAACCUGCCCUGUAGAUUGGGAUAACUCCGGGAAACCGGGGCUAAUACCGAAUAAUCCAUUUCCUCUCAUGGGGAGAUGUUAAAAGAUGGUUUCGGCUGUCACUACAGGAUGGGCCCGCGGCGCAUUAGCUAGUUGGUGAGGUAACGGCUCACCAAGGCGACGAUGCGUAGCCGACCUGAGAGGGUGAUCGGCCACAUUGGAACUGAGACACGGUCCAA